GAUGAACGCUGGCGGCGUGCCUAAUACAUGCAAGUCGAGCGAACAGACGAGGAGCUUGCUCCUCUGACGUUAGCGGCGGACGGGUGAGUAACACGUGGAUAACCUACCUAUUAGACUGGGAUAACUUCGGGAAACCGGAGCUAAUACCGGAUACUAUAUUGAACCGCAUGGUUCAAUAGUGAAAGACGGUUUUGCUGUCACCUAUAGAUGGAUCCGCGUCGCAUUAGCUAGUUCGUAAGGUAACGGCUUACCAAGGCAACGAUGCGGAGCCGACCUGAGAGGGUGAACGGGCACAGUGGGACUGGAACGCGGUCCUGGCUCCUACGGGAGGCAGAGGUAGGGAAUCGUGCGAAAAGGGCGGAAUAUUGACCGAGCAACGCCGGCUGGGUGAAGAAGGGCUUCGGGUCGUAAAACUCUGUUAUUGGGGUAGAACAAUUGUGUAAGUAACUAUGCACGUCUUGACGGUACCUAAUCAGAAAGCCACGGCUAACUACGUG
rnacentral:rRNA from 1 species